rnacentral:rRNA from 1 species
GUGUCAGCAGCCGCGGUAAGACGGAGGGUGCAAACGUUGUUCGGAAUCACUGGGCGUAAAGGGCGCGUAGGCGGAUCUGUAAGUCGGGAGUGAAAACUCGGGGCUCAACCCCGAGCCUGCUUCCGAAACUGCAAGUCUUGAGGACUGGAGAGGAAAGUGGAAUUCCCGGUGUAGCGGUGGAAUGCGUAGAUAUCGGGAGGAACAUCAGUGGCGAAGGCGACUUUCUGGACAGUUCCUGACGCUGAGGCGCGAAAGCUAGGGGAGCAAACAGGAUUAGAUACCCCCGUAGUCC